rnacentral:lncRNA from 1 species
GGCCGGGCGGGGCAUCACGGCCCUGGUCGUGCCAGGCCUGCGGUGGCAACCUCGGCUUUCCCUGCUCAGGAGCCUCGUGUCUUUCUCCGCAGCGCUUUGCCAGCCGGCCGGCUUUCCCCUUCCACCACACACCUCCACCUGGUCACAGCAGAUAACCCAGCAGCCAACUGGCUUCAUGCGCGCUCCACUCGGAAAAAGCGGUGCCCCUAUACAAAACACCAGACCCUGGAACUGGAGAAAGAGUUUCUGUUCAACAUGUACCUCACCAGGGACCGCAGGUACGAGGUGGCUCGACUGCUCAACCUCACCGAGAGGCAGGUCAAGAUCUGGUUCCAGAACCGCAGGAUGAAAAUGAAGAAAAUCAACAAAGACCGAGCAAAAGACGAGUGAUGCCAUUUGGGCUUAUUUAGAAAAAAGGGUAAGCUAGAGAGAAAAAGAAAGAACUGUCCGUCCCCCUUCCGCCUUCUCCCUUCUCUCACCCCCACCCUAGCCUCCACCAUCCCCGCACAAAGCGGCUCUAAACCUCAGGCCACAUCUUUUCCAAGGCAAACCCUGUUCAGGCUGGCUCGUAGGCCUGCCGCUUUGAUGGAGGAGGUAUUGUAAGCUUUCCAUUUUCUAUAAGAAAAAGGAAAAGUUGAGGGGGGGGCAUUAGUGCUGAUAGCUGUGUGUGUUAGCUUGUAUAUAUAUUUUUAAAAAUCUACCUGUUCCUGACUUAAAACAAAAGGAAAGAAACUACCUUUUUAUAAUGCACAACUGUUGAUGGUAGGCUGUAUAGUUUUUAGUCUGUGUAGUUAAUUUAAUUUGCAGUUUGUGCGGCAGAUUGCUCUGCCAAGAUACUUGAACACUGUGUUUUAUUGUGGUAAUUAUGUUUUGUGAUUCAAACUUCUGUGUACUGGGUGAUGCACCCAUUGUGAUUGUGGAAGAUAGAAUUCAAUUUGAACUCAGGUUGUUUAUGAGGGGAAAAAAACAGUUGCAUAGAGUAUAGCUCUGUAGUGGAAUAUGUCUUCUGUAUAACUAGGCUGUUAACCUAUGAUUGUAAAGUAGCUGUAAGAAUUUCCCAGUGAAAUAAAAAAAAAUUUUAAGUGUUCUCGGGGAUGCAUAGAUUCAUCAUUUUCUCCACCUUAAAAAUGCGGGCAUUUAAGUCUGUCCAUUAUCUAUAUAGUCCUGUCUUGUCUAUUGUAUAUAUAAUCUAUAUGAUUAAAGAAAAUAUGCAUAAUCAGACAAGCUUGAAUAUUGUUUUUGCACCAGACGAACAGUGAGGAAAUUCGGAGCUAUACAUAUGUGCAGAAGGUUACUACCUAGGGUUUAUGCUUAAUUUUAAUUGGAGGAAAUGAAUGCUGAUUGUAACGGAGUUAAUUUUAUUGAUAAUAAAUUAUACACUAUGAAACCGCCA